AGAAGACAUUAAAGCAAAAAUGCAAGCAAGUAUAGAAAAAGGUGGUUCUCUUCCCAAAGUGGAAGCCAAGUUUAUCAAUUAUGUCAAGAAUUGCUUCCGGAUGACUGAUCAGGAGGCUAUUCAAGAUCUCUGGCAGUGGAGGAAGUCUCUUUAAGAAAAUAGUUUAAACAGUUUGUUAAAAUUUUCCGUCUUAUUUCAUUUCUGUAACAGUUGAUAUCUGGCUGUCCUUUUUAUAAUGCAGAGUGAGAACUUCCCCUACCGUGUUUGAUAAAUGUUGUCCAGGUUCUAUUGCCAAGAAUGUGUUGUCCAAAAUGCCUGUUUAGUUUUUAAAGAUGGAACUCCACCCUUUGCUUGGUUUUAAGUAUGUAUGGAAUGUUAUGAUAGGACACAGUAGUAGUGGUGGUCAGACAUGGAAA